CACCGCACGACGGCAUGAGACAACCUGCAGCUGUAGAUAAAUUGUCUUUGAUUCUGGGAUCAAUGAGAGAUGGUUUCAUCAGCCAAGUUCUGAGAGCAAAUGAGUCAUCGGCUACGAAAUGAUUAGUUUAUAUAGCAUGGCGUCAAGCAGGACAAAUUUAAACAAUGAAUUGUGCUGCAGUG